UGGGGAAUAUUGCACAAUGGGGGAAACCCUGAUGCAGCAACGCCGCGUGAGUGAUGACGGUCUUCGGAUUGUAAAGCUCUGUCUUUAGGGACGAUAAUGACGGUACCUAAGGAGGAAGCCACGGCUAACUACGUGCCAGCAGCCGCGGUAAUACGUAGGUGGCAAGCGUUGUCCGGAUUUACUGGGCGUAAAGGGAGCGUAGGCGGAUAAUUAAGUGGGAUGUGAAAUACUCAGGCUCAACCUGGGGGCUGCAUUCCAAACUGAUUAUCUAGAGUGCAGGAGAGGAGAGUGGAAUUCCUAGUGUAGCGGUGAAAUGCGUAGAGAUUAGGAAGAACACCAGUGGCGAAGGCGACUCUCUGGACUGUAACUGACGCUGAGGCUCGAAAGCGUGGGGAGCAAACAG
rnacentral:rRNA from 1 species